rnacentral:rRNA from 1 species
AAAUUGAAGAGUUUGAUCAUGGCUCAGAUUGAACGCUGGCGGCAGGCCUAACACAUGCAAGUCGAACGGUAACAGGAAAAAGCUUGCUUUUUUGCUGACGAGUGGCGGACGGGUGAGUAAUGUCUGGGAAACUGCCUGAUGGAGGGGGAUAACUACUGGAAACGGUAGCUAAUACCGCAUAACGUCGCAAGACCAAAGAGGGGGACCUUCGGGCCUCUUGCCAUCGGAUGUGCCCAGAUGGGAUUAGCUUGUUGGUGGGGUAACGGCUCACCAAGGCGACGAUCCCUAGCUGGUCUGAGAGGAUGACCAGCCACACUGGAACUGAGACACGGUCCAGACUCCUACGGGAG